CAGCCGCCGCGGGAAUACGGAGGGGGCUAGCGUUGUUCGGAAUUACUGGGCGUAAAGCGCACGUAGGCGGCUUUGUAAGUCAGAGGUGAAAGCCCGGGGCUCAACCCCGGAAUUGCCUUUGAGGCUGCAUCGCUUGAAUCCAGGAGAGGUGAGUGGAAUUCCGAGUGUAGAGGUGAAAUUCGUAGAUAUUCGGAAGAACACCAGUGGCGAAGGCGGCUCACUGGACUGGUAUUGACGCUGAGGUGCGAAAGCGUGGGGAGCAAACAGGAUUAGAUACCCCCGUAGUCCCUGUCUCUUAUAC
rnacentral:rRNA from 1 species